rnacentral:tRNA from 1 species
AGGGACGUAGCUUAACUUGGUAGAGCACUCGGUUUGGGUCCGAGAGGUUGCAGAUUCGAAUUCUGUCGUCCCUACCA